AGCUCCAAGUGACUCCAAGUGACUAACCUCACAGUGGACACAGCCACAAACGUUGGCAUCUGUGGGAAAAGACAGCAUGCACGAGGCCCACUUAGGCUCUUUGUGUCUUUCACCUAAGAGAAUAAUGUUGAUAGAAGUUCAUCAGGAAGAAACACUGCUCUGACUUUAGCUGCUGCAUUUUACAGUUACAUCAAAGACAGCAAACAAGUCUUACACUUCCAGACUACAGACAAAGAAGAAGGCACGAAGGCACUACCAAUGCAGCAAUUAGCAUAUCUGGAUUUAUUCUGGACAUCAAGAGACAUGCUUGUGCUCCUUUUCUGACGAGAUAAGAAUUCAUUUAUUCAAUA